GCCGAGGUAGCUCAGCUGGGAGAGCGUUAGACUGAAGAUCUAAAGGUCCCCGGUUCGAUCCCGGGUCUCGGCA
rfam:Thelohanellus kitauei scaffold00726, whole genome shotgun sequence.